UGGCUCAGAUUGAACGCAGGCGGCAGGCUUAACACAUGCAAGUCGAACGGUAGCAGGAGAAAGCUUGCUUUCUUGCUGACGAGUGGCGGACGGGUGAGUAAUGCUUGGGAAUCUGGCUUAUGGAGGGGGAUAACUACGGGAAACUGUAGCUAAUACCGCGUAAUAUCGAAAGAUUAAAGUGUGGGACCUUCGGGCCACAUGCCAUGGGAUGAGCCCAAGUGGGAUUAGGUAGUUGGUGGGGUAAAGGCCUACCAAGCCUGCGAUCUCUAGCUGGUCUGAGAGGAUGGCCAGCCACACUGGAACUGAGACACGGUCCAGACUCCUACGGGAGGCAGCAGUGGGGAAUAUUGCGCAAUGGGGGGAACCCUGACGCAGCCAUGCCGCGUGAAUGAAGAAGGCCUUCGGGUUGUAAAGGACUUUUGUCAGGGAAGAAAAGGACAGGGUUAAUACCCCUGUCUGAUGACGGUACCUGAAGAAUAAGCACCGGCUAACUACGUGCCAGCAGCCGCGGUAAUACGUAGGGUGCGAGCGUUAACCGGAAUAACUGGGCGUAAAGGGCACGCACGCGGUGACUUAAGUGAGGUGUGAAAGCCCCGGGCUUAACCUGGGAAUUGCAUUUCAUACUGGGUCGCUAGAGUACUUUAGGGAGGGGUAGAAUUUCCACGUGUAGCGGUGAAAUGCGUAGAGAUGUGGAGGAAUACCGAAGGCGAAGGCAGCCCCUUUGGGAAUGUACUGACGCUCAUGUGCGAAAGCGGUGGGGAGCAAACAGGAUUAGAUACCCU
rnacentral:rRNA from 1 species